GGCUUCUCUUUAAUUGGUUCAGUUAUCUCUUUCGCUUUCUCCUCCUUCUCUUCCUUAUGCCGGUAUUUAUCCUUUGAUUUUCUAUUCUUCUCUCGGUCUCUACUUUUGUGUUUAUCACCCUUACCAUCACUUUCCUUGUGCAUGCCCUUCUCUUUCCCCUCCAUCUGCUUCUCAGCAUCCUUCUUCUCCCCCAACUUGACAAUUCCUUCCUUCAACUCUUUCUUGGCCCACGCCAGAGUAGUUUUGAUGAAAUGCCUUUCCCAAACCUCUGGUGUCAAAAUGAUUUCUUUGUCCAUUGAUUUUCUUAUGAUCUUCAUUCCUAAUCUUAACCUUCUCUUUUUCCUCAGAUUGAUUGCCAAUACUUCCCUCCACCACCAUUC
rnacentral:misc_RNA from 1 species